AGCGGGAAGCCAACCUCAAGAUAAGAUAUCCCUUCUGAUGGAGACAUCAGAACUGAAGACCCCUUGGAGACUACGAGGUUGAUAGGCCAGGUGUGUAAGUGUGGUAACACAUUUAGCUGACUGGUACUAAUCGGUCGUGAGGCUUGGCCAU
rnacentral:rRNA from 1 species